rnacentral:rRNA from 1 species
CCUACGGGGGGCAGCAGUAGGGAAUAUUGCUCAAUGGGGGAAACCCUGAAGCAGCAACGCCGCGUGGAGGAUGAAGGUUUUCGGAUUGUAAACUCCUUUUGUUAGAGAAGAUAAUGACGGUAUCUAACGAAUAAGCACCGGCUAACUCCGUGCCAGCAGCCGCGGUAAUACGGAGGGUGCAAGCGUUACUCGGAAUCACUGGGCGUAAAGAGCGCGUAGGCGGGAUAGCAAGUCAGAUGUGAAAUCCUAUGGCUUAACCAUAGAACUGCAUUUGAAACUGUUAUUCUAGAGUAUGGGAGAGGUAGGUGGAAUUCUUGGUGUAGGGGUGAAAUGCGUAGAGAUCAGGAGGAAUACUCAUGGCGAAGGCGACCUGCUAGAACAUAACUGACGCUGAUGCGCGAAAGCGUGGGGAGCAAACAGGAUUAGAUACCCCUGUAGUC